UACGUAGGGGGCAAGCGUUGUCCGGAAUCAUUGGGCGUAAAGCGCGCGUAGGCGGCUAGAUCAGUCUGCUGUAAAAGUCAAAGGCUCAACCUUUGAAAGCCGGUGGAUACUGUCUAGCUAGAGUCCGGAAGAGGCGAGUGGAAUUCCUGGUGUAGCGGUGGAAUGCGCAGAUAUCAGGAGGAACACCAACGGCGAAGGCAGCUCGCUGGGACGGUACUGACGCUGAGACGCGAAAGCGUGGGGAGCGAACAGG
rnacentral:rRNA from 1 species